CUUGAUGAUAUCUAGGUCAGGUUCAAAACUGGGUCCAAUGAGCGCAAAAACUAGGUCACUAUGUCAAAUAAUAGAAAAAACGACGUCAGGUGAGCGAUUCAGGACCAUCAUGGUCCUCUUGUUCUACUAAUUACAUGAGUUGUGUGUGUUUUCCUGCAUAGAUUUAAUCAAAUGGUAUGAAAAUAAGUCAGUUGAAAAACUUUAUUAUGGAAAUAGCUGUGUGUGAAAACCAUCAUUGAAUGCAGUCUCGCCAUAGAUUAAUAUCAAGACUGCUGUCAGAACCAUCUAGUCAAGAGAUAAUUAGUAGCCAGGAUUUAUUUCUUGCAACUUUUAGAUUUGAGGAACAACUCGUUUGAAUUAUAAAGUUGUCAAGCAAAGAUAAAGACUGUCUCAUGGUUUUCUAUAAUUGACUUCAUUUCAACAUGGAACAUUUUAUUUCUCAUAUAUAUAAAAUGUUAAUCAGUUCACUUUACUUUGAAGUAUAGGAGUUUAGUGAGGACUUGAUGCAUCCUGUAUUAUAGUAUUAAAGUGCCAUCAGCAUCAGUCAUCACUAAGUUUUCAGCCAGCCCAAAAUUUUACAGCAUUUUAUAUGUAGUAUAUAUAUACAUCAUACUACUUAAUGCAUCAUCAUGAUCAAAUCACUGCUUACAUUAGACACAUUAGUCCAGUGGUAACAUGCAGGACUACAAGACUAGUGGUCUAAGAGUUUGGCUCCCCGACUCCUCUGACUAAAUAAUACCUGUGUUUGAGUGCUGUACACAUGGCAGGUUAAAUAACCAGGGAAGCUUCUAGAGUGUAAUGGCUUCUGUAUCUUGCACUUUCUCUGUAACAAAGAAAUUACUUACAUUCUUCAUGAGGAAAGUCAGUUAGACUAAUGUCUUCUAUACUUAAAACAAUGCUUGUUUCAAAUUUUUGUUAACCAGAUGUCAUACCAAAUUUAUUUGAUGGCUAUAUGUCACUUCAGCAACAUAGGACAUUGAUAAAUAGAUAUAUUUGACGCACACAAAAGGUUAAUACUGUAUGCAGAGAAGGUUUCUUGUUUAAACUAUAACCAAGUCAUUGUCAUUAGAAACUUAGAAUUGUUGAGGGACAGUAUAACAUGGGUGUUGCCAUUUGUUAUCCCUGCCGUUGGUUAAUUAGACAGAUGUUUUAUAUACAUUAUAUACUAGCAUAUCAUAAAUGUAUUAUACAUUACAUUGAUAACUGGGGCAAUGCCUUUCAGUUAAUGUUAUAGUUUACAUUUACAUAGUUUACAAAUAGUUUUCAUGAAUCAUUACAUUCAUGAUUGUCAUGUAAUGUACAAGUAAAUGUCAUGUAAGUUACAAGUAAAUGUCAUGUAAGUUACAAGUAAAUGUCAUGUAAAUUACAAGUAAAUGUCAUUUAAUGUACAGGUAAAUGUCAUUUAAUGUACAAUUAAAUUUCAUGUAAUGUACAAGUUAAGUCAUUUACUAUACAAGUGAAUGGCAUUUAAUGUACAAGUGAAUGGCAUUUAAUGUACAAGUGAAUGGCAUUUAAUAUACAAGUAAAAUGUCAUGCAAUGCUCUUAUUUCAAUAAUGCACACAAGUUUUGAUGUUAAGGGUAAUUUGCUUCCCGGUCGUUCCGUUCACUAGACGGAACAUAUCAAAGGUACAUGUACAUGGUCCAUGACUUCAUAUGGGGUGUUGUCAAAACAGUGGCACUUAUCACUAAGCAGCAUUGCGGUUCAUACAGAUUGAAAAUAAUUUUCAAUGGAACAAACAGGGGGAAUGUAAAUAUUAUUAAGUGACCCUGUUAAAGGAUAUGUUCUUCAGGGAUACAGACAAAUCAGCUCUUAGCUAGCCUGAAGUUUUUUCUUCAAUAGGUACCUAAACAUAUUUAUUUUCUGACAAAAUGAUUAUAAUAUACUUUUAUAAGGUAUUUGGAAUAUAUCUGGAGUGUAUCUAUUUAUAACAUAACUAAUAUGAAAUAUGAUAUAUAUAUAAACAACAUAUUGGACCAACAAGGAAGCUUCUGUUUUCCUGAACCACAUGUCUUUUUGAGCAUGUUGCAGUGUCUAGGUUUUCAGUAAACAGGUUUAGGUAGUAUAGAAAUAUCAAGGUACAUUAAUACAGAACAACAAAAAGUCAUUUUUUAACACAAUUAUGUUUUACUUCAUGCUUCAAGAUAUUGUUUGAAUUUAUCAAUACUAUGCUAUUUUGUAGUUAUCAUUUUAUACAUUUAUGCUAUGCCAAAAUUGUUUUAUGUUAUACUUAAUAGAUUCACAUUAUUUGUAUACAAAUCACAAGUAAAUUACAUUCCUGUCUGUUUUAUUAAACAGUUUUGUAGGAUGUGCACCUGCCACCUUUGAACUUCUAUAAAUCUUUCUUUUUAUAGAAUUUAAAAGUUACAGUUCUAUAUCAAACUAGAUAAAGGUAUGACAAUCAUAUCACAGUGUUUCUGCCAGAUACAGUUUAGAGAUGGGCCUUUUGUUCAUUUCUCUGCCCUUUGCAGAGAUUUUAUGAAAGUACCCUUCCAGGACAAAUGCUUAUAUGUCAGUAUCUUGGCAGAAAGGAUCAUUAACAGACCUAGCCAAGUUUCGUUAGUGUCAUUUCUGUUGAAAUGUUUUUGCAGACUUCAAAACCAUUAUUAUUGAAUUUAAUUGUCUUUGUAAGGUAAGGUUUCAUAAUGGAUCAAGAUUUAGUUAAAUGCUUAAGGAUGGGUAAGGUUUAAGGACGGAUCAAGAUUUAGUUAAAUGCUUAAGGAUGGGUAAGAUUUAAGGACAGAUCAAGAUUUAGUUCAAUGCUUAAGGAUGGGUAAGGUUUUAGGACGGAUCAAGAUUUAGUUAAAUGCUUAAGGAUGGGUAAGAUUUAAGGACAGAUCAAGAUUUAGUUAAAUGCUUAAGGAUGGGUAAGAUUUAAGGACAGAUCAAGCUUUAGUUAAAUGCUUAAGGAUGGGUAAGAUUUAAGGACAGAUCAAGAUUUAGUUAAAUGCUUACGGAGGAAGCCGAGUCCUGUUUCCAGCUACAUGAUUUGUCUUCAAAUUUAAGAAUAUUUACAGCUCAGUAAUGUUUUUAAAAAGUUAACAAUCCUUAAUGUUCAAAUUCCGUGCUGGAUUAGAACAUUUUAAUGUCCUAAAAAAAGCAUGUAAAAUUGCUAGUGUUAUUUCAAAGGUGUGCACGCUACUACAUGAAAUUUGUCCAUUGAAUAGACAUUUACCUCAUUGUUGAUCAUAUCAUCUUUGUUACUUUUUACAUAACAGAACUAUUUAUAGGAAUAAAGUCGUUUCUUUAUAAA
rnacentral:lncRNA from 1 species